UGGCCGCGUCGACCUGGCUCAGGACGAACGCUGGCGGCGUGCCUAAUACAUGCAAGUCGAGCGAGCAGAACCAGCAGAUUUACUUCGGUAAUGACGCUGGGGACGCGAGCGGCGGAUGGGUGAGUAACACGUGGGGAACCUGCCCCAUAGUCUAGGAUACCACUUGGAAACAGGUGCUAAUACCGGAUAAUAAAGCAGAUCGCAUGAUCAGCUUAUAAAAGGCGGCGUAAGCUGUCGCUAUGGGAUGGCCCCGCGGUGCAUUAGCUAGUUGGUAAGGUAACGGCUUACCAAGGCAAUGAUGCAUAGCCGAGUUGAGAGACUGAACGGCCACAUUGGGACUGAGACACGGCCCAAACUCCUACGGGAGGCAGCAGUAGGGAAUCUUCG
rnacentral:rRNA from 1 species